AGAGUGCCGCUCUUUGCAUUAUAGAUGUUGAGAACUGUGGCCGUUGCCAUGGUGACGCCACCCUGCAAUAUUCUGUUGCAGCCCGCUUGCCUGCCGAUGCUUGCAGCAGCUUACAAGCCGGAGAAAAAAAAAAGAAAAGACAGAGGUGGGAGGGGAAGAAGACUUGAAGAGAGACUGGAGUAAUGGGGUCUGCGGCAGAAUCCAGCUGAAUGCUAAUCAUCUUUUCUUGACACUUUGUCCUUUGGUAUGCAGAAGUCAGCAUCAGGACCAGGGAGAAAGGACGGGAAAACAGAUGACAGGUUUGGAGGCCAUGGGGCAAUGAAAGGCUCCAGGCCGUUUGUCCCUGCGGCUCAACUGUGAAGGUUCAUUGCUGAUGGUGCUGGAAAUCUGGCAGAAUGAAGAGGCAUUUGGAGUCUCUGCCACCACUCCAGCAUGCAUAUUUACGAUCCCAGGAGGUGUGCAGGGGAUGAUUCUCACAGGAGUUGGCAGACAUUUCAGGGGAGAAACACCAACUAUCAGUCGGCUGAUGCCAGAGCACCUGCACUCAAUCAGCCUGGAUGAAGUCGGUCCAGCACACAGACCCGAUCCACGAGCCAAUAGAACAUACAUCUUAGAGUUAAAGACCCAAUCUAAUAAGAAAUGCUAAAAGCUCCAUGCGCUGCUUCAUUCUGAUUCAUCCACUUGCAGACAAAUCAAUCUGUGAACGUCUUUGUUUUCCUCGUCUGAGCUGGAAUCUGACUCAAGACUGUACGGCUGGACAGCUCCAAUACUGCUCUCCAGG